UACCAGCACCCCGAGUGGUCGGGACGAUUAUUGGGCCUAAAGCAUCCGUAGCCGGUUCUACAAGUCUUCCGUUAAAUCCACCUGCUUAACAGAUGGGCUGCGGAGGAUACUAUAGAGCUAGGAGGCGGGAGAGGCAAGCGGUACUUAGUGGGUAGGGGUAAAAUCCGUUGAUCCAUUGAGGACCACCAGUGGCGAAGGCGGCUUGCCAGAACGCACUCGACGGUGAGGGAUGAAAGCUGGGGGAGCAAACCGG
rnacentral:rRNA from 1 species